rnacentral:rRNA from 1 species
GCCGCGGUAAUUCCAGCUCCAAUAGCGUAUAUUAAAGUUGUUGUGGUUAAAAAGCUCGUAGUUGGAUCUCGGCGGACUGAGGGCGGUUUGCUUGCUAGUAUUACUGCCCUAUAGUCCGUAGUUUUGCCAGAGGUUUCGGGGUGCUCUUAAUCGAGUGUCCCGGGAUGCUGGCAGGUUUACUUUGAAAAAAUUAGAGUGCUCAAAGCAGGCUAUUACGCCUGAAUAUUCGUGCAUGGAAUAAUAGAAUAGGAAGUCGUUUCUAUUUUGUUGGUUUUCGGAAAUCGACUUAAUGAUUAAUAGGGACAGUCGGGGGCAUUUGUAUUCAAACGACAGAGGUGAAAUUCUUGGACCGUUUGAAGACAAACUACUGCGAAAGCAUUUGCCAAGAAUGUUUUCAUUAAUCAAGAACGAAAGUUAAAGGUUCGAAGGCGAUUAGAUACCGCCCUAGUUUUAACCAUAAACGAUGCCAGCUAGCGAUCUGCGGACGUUUUUUUUGUAGACUCCGCAGGAAGCUUCCGGGAAACCAAAGCAUUUGGGUUCCAGGGGAAGUAUGGUUGCAAAGCUGAAACUUAAAGGAAUUGACGGAAGGGCACCACCAGGAGUGGAGCCUGUGGCUUAAUUUGACUCAACACGGGAAAUCUCACCAGGCCCGGACACUGGAAGGAUUGACAGAUUGAUAGCUCUUUCUUGAUUCGGUGGGUGGUGGUGCAUGGCCGUUCUUAGUUGGUGGAGUGAUUUGUCUGGUUAAUUCCGAUAACGAACGAGACUCUGUCCUGCUAAAUAGUGUCUGCUUCUCUUUUGAGCAGACAAUUCUUCUUAGAGGGACUGGCGACUCUUAGUCGCACGAGAUUGAGCAAUAACAGGUCUGUGA